UCUGUCUGACAGGACAGUGCCAGCAAGCUGGAGAAGAAUGUGUGUCACUUUGGCUGAGUUGCUGAGAUGGUGUUCCACUUCGGAGGGACCUGCUUUUAGGAGGAGCUCACAGAGAUGGACCAGGGGACGUUUGUGGAUUACCAGGCAUCACUCAGGGAUCCAAGAAAACUGGCAUCAGUGGUUAUAGCCCAAACAGUAACACGAAAGAUGGAGUGAACUCUGGCGUAUUCUGUCUGGCUGUAACCACACCACCGUGUCCCACACUGCAGCUUGUGCCCUUCUUGCUCAGGGGGUUCUCCCUCGGCACACUAUGGACAAGAACCUGCAUUCACAGUCAUUCCAGUGGACGGCAAGGAGACAGCAAUCAGUCCUUCACGACUCGUCCCUCUGCUUCUGUUUAUCAGGAAUCUAAUCCUGUCCUCGGUGUGAGGAGGGCUGCACCACUGUUUAGUGACAAAGCUUCUCCCUGCAGCCCUCACAGGCUUUUACAAGCACACUCAGAACAUGACCAGGGAUAUGACUUUAGAGUGGAUUAAGACAACGGGCAUGAUGGACUAUGGUAUUAAAGGAGGCCCAAGCGCUGUCUUAACCACUACAGUUGAUCAAAUGAGGUCAAAGGCCAGAGGUUUGCACAAAAAGCAUCUGCAGUGGUGUCUCAGCUGAGGAUUCGGGAAAUGGCCCAAAGUCUUGGCCCAGAUUCAAUGCAGGCUGAAGGGGCCUAAGAAGACCCCAGGAAGAGUCUUGAUAGCCAGUCCUCACUGAAGUUACCCUGUGCCCUGAGCGUCCAUGAUUCCUACAUCAGGUCAAUGCUCAAUUUAUGAGCAGACCCAGCCACCAGCUGGUGUCUCGGUUAUUUGGUCAUAAUAGAGCCGCCUGGUCAAGAGUCCACAAACAAGGGCCUCUCACCAAUCCUCCCAGUGCACACACCAGAAGAACCUCCUUAACUGUGAAUUAUGACAAAUGGGAUGCUUUACUAGCUGCACUUGAUGGUGUAGUGCAGUCCUGUGUAGGAGGAACCGGGGGUUGAAGGCUGAGGCUGGAGGACUGUCUGUCAGUAGAACUCUUCUUGGGCCACGGUGAAUCCAGAGUCAGCCUGUGCAACACAGCAUAACCCUACGUAAACCAAAAUGUAUAAAUAGGGCUGGAGAAGCAGCUCGGUGGUAGAAUGUUUGCCUAGCCUGUAGGGAGGGGCUCUUAGUUUCAAUCCCAGCAAAGGGAAUAGAUUGCAGCAGGGCUUCCACAGGAGCAGGGCCCUCCUGUCACCAUCAUACGGCACGGUGUUCACAUGAUCACAAGGUCGCGCAGGGUUGAUGCCUUGAGCUGCACGUUUCCUAGCUGGCUGUGGCUUUUCCCCUGGAAGUCAGAUCUUGCCUUCGAACCACACACUCCAAAGGGCCCGGCUAGCUGAGCACUUGGUCAGUCUUUGCACCUGUGUUAUGAAGGAAGCAGAGAAGGCUCCCUAAGAAACCUGCAGUCUACAAGCUAAUUCUAGAGACUGGAUACAUCGUUCAGAGAGCUGAAGACUAGAAACAGCUCUGUCUGGAGGCUCUCCUGCAGAAGACUCUGAAGCCCCUCCUCAUUCUCAAACUCCAUGAACUUAGGAACAAGGGAAGCUCAGUGUGAGGAAUCCUGUUCAGUCGAGGUGGCCCAGAAAGAGCCUUCAAACUAUCCUUUGUCCAGACCCAUCCUGACUUCACCCAGAACUACACAGAAGAUCUGACUGACAAGAUGGUCAGAGAUAUAACUGAUGGAGUGCAUCCGGGAUCUUGGACCAGAUCCAGAGAUGCUGAAGCUGAGGCUGGGAGAGCUGGAAUGACCUGGGAGAUAAGGGCCCAGGAGAUGUCAGGAGAACGUAGAAGGGAAGCGGAGAGGUGUGGCUGCUUCCCUCUGGGAGCUGUUUGUGGGCUUGUGUGCCUGACAGCAUCACAUGGAGCAAAGGCAGAAAGAUCAGAGACAUGUUCUCAGAAGUGUACCUUCCUCUCUGUGUGAUCUUUUCGUUUUCCUCAACUUUAGGAAUAUAACUGGGUGGGUUUGCUGAACAGCAGUGGUUCACUUUCAAGACACCAACUCCCCUGUCAAGGGGUUGGCACAGCCUGGCAGAUUGCUCCCGUUGCAUAAGUCCUAGUGUUGGAGACCACAUGGAGUUGAGGAGACCACUGGAGACCCUGUUCAGAACCAUGCGAAGACUGUGGUUGCAAUCAUUUAGACUACCUGGCCAUGUAGCUGAACUGAUUCACAAAUUGGCCAGAGUGGUCUGGGACCUAGGGUUAAUGAUGGGACAAGGGUACAAAUGCCUGCAGAAAAUAAAAAUGGAGUGACAACCCCAAA